GUUUCCGUGGGAAAUCUGGGCUCCGUAGGAAAUCGGGGCGGCCUCCCGGCCGGAAUGAAUGAGCGGCGGGCAGGCACGACCGGUUCCUGGCGUGCCGCGACCUCGGCCGCCUUCGGCUUUGCUGCGCCGGUGGGUUUGGAGUCAGUCUGGGCAGAGCUGCUCACGCCGCUCCGUGUGCGAGGGGGCUGCGUUUAUUAAAAGCAAUAGGCAGCGUGACACGCUGAGGGCUUUGGCACGUGUCACUUACUACAGCGUGUGGAGUGUGACAUUGAGAAGCACCGUCCCUGUCCCAGCCCUGGAGCUCUGCCUUUUCGUCAAGCAGGGGAACCGUUCUGUUGGUUUUUUCCCCGUAUUUAUUUGUCCUUAAAGUGAGAGUUAUGCACAUGCCUCGGUUUUCUGCAGCAAAGCAUUGCCGAGGUUCACUGAGUGCUGUGAGUUUUAAGGGUGGUGGUGGCUGUGGUGGCAGUACCAUGCUCACCCUGUGACUGGCUGCAGAGUGACACCAGGCAGAGCUUGUGGCUUCACAAAAUGCGUGAAUCUUCAAGUGCAGUGUGUAGAGCAAGAAAUGCAGUGUCUGACACAACAUGUCGUUCCAUGUUGGUGCAGAUGUCUCUUUUAGAACCAUAAAUAAUAUCUGGGAAAUGUGAAUGUUUAUUUCUUGUAGCAGCAGCGGCCUUCUGCUUGAAAGCUGAUGAGGAACUCAGGGGUUUUAGUUGCAUAAUACUUUUCCAUUAGAAAAGAUGUUUAAUAAUUUUAAGUAAACUGAAACUUCCAUUGUUUAUAACAGACCUUUGAAAAGUGUCAAGUGCUCCAGAGCAGUGUUUUUCCUUAUGAAAUUCUACUCAGGUUUGUCUGACAAACAUAUCUGGACAUGUUUAUGUUUCCAUAGAAUUGGUUGCUUUAUCAUAAAAUAUUAAGUAUGCCAAAUUAUAAACAAGAACUUGUUCCACACUGCAGCUGUACAUGUCAGAGUCCUGUACAUCCUCUGCCUUGGAGGCUGAAGGAAGUGGAUACGGGGUUGGUUUCGCAGAAUCCCAGAGUGGUUUGUGCUGGAAGGGACCUUACAGCUCAUCUUGUCCCACCCCUGCCAUGGGCAGGCACACCUUCCACUGUCCCAGGCUGCUCCCAGCCCCUUCCAGCCUGGCCUUGGGCACUGCCAGGGAUCCAGGGGCAGGCACGGCUUCUCUGGGCACCCUGUGCCAGGGCCUGCCCACCCUCACAGGGAAGAAUUUUUUCACCUUAUGCGACCAUAAUCCUGCCUCUGUCAUUGGGCAGCCAUUCCCCCUUGUCCUGUAUCUCCAGGCCCUUGCAAACAGUUUCUUUCCCUCUUUCCUGUCAGUUCCCUUUAGGCACUGGAAGGCUGCAAUGAGGUCACCCCAAAACCUUCUUUUUUCCAGGCUGAACAAUCUCAAUUCUCUCAGCCUUUCCUCCCAGCAGAGCUGCUCCAUUCCUCUGAUCUUCCUGGUGCAUCCUCUGGACUCUCUCCAGCAGCUCCAGGUCCUUCCAGGGCUGGGGCACUCUGCAGGGCUGCUCCUGCUCUCUUCAUCCCUUAGCCUGGAUUCAUCCUGGGAUUUGUCCUGACCCACGUGCAGCACCUGCUCUUGUUAAACCUCAUGGGAUUCCCAUGGGCCACUCCUGGAGCUUGUCCAGGUCCCUCUGGACAGCCCUGUCCUCCAGGUGUGUGCAGCCCUUAGCUUGGUGCCUGUCACCUGCACUCCUGGCUCUUCUGUGGGCUUUUCGUCUCCGUUUGGGGUUUUCUUCCAGCCUGAAGGGGCGACAGAAGAACGAGACCCUGCUUUGCUUUGUGCACUGGGGCUCCAGUCUGAGGAUUGCCAGCGUUGGCUUUGUGAGGAUGCUGAGGAGAGAUCUCGGGCAAACUCAGGUUUUUCAUCAGGCUGCCCAAAGGGGACACCUGUGCUGCAUCUCUUUAUCUUCUCACCAAACCCGGUGGGCUGGGCUCAGAUGCGUGGCCCUCUUCGUGUGUGAGGGCACUUUUCUGGUUUGUGUGCUUUUACAAUUGAUCAGUAGCUGAAGCAUUUGUGCUGGCAACCUCCUGCGUGAGUUUUGUGCUGACGGCACACAUUUUUCCGUGGUAUCCCAGUGGGAAUGAUUGUUUUCUCUGCAGGGACAUUAAAACUCUGAGCGGUUGGGUUGAUUGGUUUUGUAAUAUUACUGCAAAGUUUGCUGGAGUUUCCAGUAUAAAUUAUCAAGGGUGGUUGUUGUACUGGAAAGAAAAUAAAUUUUUUUACUUGAGGAUAUAGUUGUUACAUUGGAUACAGGACUUGGUAAACGUCUUUUUUGUCAGACUUCUCCCUUUUGUGGCCACGAUUUCCUUCCCAAACACUCCUUUACAUCCUUCCCAAGUGCUACAGCCAGGGAGAUCUUCCCAGCCAAUGGCUGGGGAAAAACAAACAUUCUGAUUAGCCCAGUGUUUUCCCAUUCCAGUCUCUCUAAAUAAGGCAAAGCACUGAAUUUCUGGAGCCUUGCAUGCAGGACAUUUCCCAGUGGCUGUGAGAGCUGUGUACAGAUAACUCCUGUGGAUUAGUUUGGGGGCUGGUGGGACAUGGGAGACAGAAAAGGGGAGAAGGAGAGGUUGAGCUGCCAGGCUGGCUUUAUUAGCAAAAAUUUGGUUUGAAUUGCAGCUGGGGCUGUGCUGCCUGUCCUUAGCCCAUCAGGAUCCCUGUGUAAGUCAGGGUUUGUCCUUAGCUCUGUUUGUAGUUGUGCAAUACUGUUUUAGCUGGAGACCAGGCUCCUGAAAAAAAUUUGAUUUCCUGCCACUAAAGCUUCCAAAAGAAAUAUUUAUCUUGUGUUGCAUCUUUUGAAAUGCUGUAUUAUGUUUUUGAGCUCUUGGUCGCUACCUGUGUGGAUCUUGUAAUUUAGUAUUAACUUUUUCCUGUUGGUUCCAAACAGAGGAUGUUGUCAGGCGUUGUUAGGACAGGAUUUCAUUUCAAAGAGUAGGUAAACCUUUUUAUGCCUGCUCAGAACAUUAAACCAUUGUUAAGUGGAGCUUGUGGUCACCUCGUUUUUAUUAGCAUGAUAUUUAUUUGUUUUGCUGAUGAUGAGGCUAUAUCCAGGUGGUUUUGUUCCUCUUCCAUUCCAGAGGUAGUUGUGAGCUCAGUGUGCAGAGGACUGGCUUGUGCUUUCUCAGCUGACCAGGGGGUUUCUGACAGACAGUCCGGGUCCUGCUGGCUCUGGCUUUGCACCAUCCUCAGGGCUUUUCACCGAGGCAGUCAUUUAAAUAAUUUAACUGUCUGUUCCUUUUUAAAAUUCUGAUACUGAUUUUCAUGCAGGAAAGCUACUUGUUACUUUCUUACAGAAAACCUGUUUGUUUGGCAGGUGGGAACAGAGGCUUGAACUAGCCUGGCUUUCCUUUCCUUCCUAGCUUGCAAACCUUCCUCAGUUCCCGUGUCGUCUCCAGCCUUCACAGCCAUUUCUUCCUUUUCAUCAGUAGAGCUCUGCAGAGGAGGGGUGAUGAAGUAAACACUGCCGUGGUCUUCCUCCAUCCUGCAGGCUCCAAACCCUGUUCAAAGGGUUGGUUUGUUUGUUUAACUGAUUGAUAGUUCAUGGCUGUUUAUUUGGAAGGACAAUUACUCACAGAAGAUUGACAGAGGUGGUUUUUUUUGUUGAAAGGCUGUAAUUUUGGACAAAUUAUUAUUAUGUGCUGUUACCAGGGGACAGAGGCAAUAAAGAGUAGUGUGGAAGAGAGGGAGGUUUAUGUGCCCUCAUGCCUUGGUUUGUUUUGAAGCUGUUGUUGUUUUAAAUGAGUUGAAGGCUGUAAUUUUCCUGAUACUGGAAGGUAAUCCUAGGGAAGCUGUUUGCUUCUUGACUUGUGUGUGUGAAGUUGCUGUGUUGAAGUUAAUUUAUUUUUCAGGAGAGAAAUGUUUUGAUGUAUGUCUGUGAUUGACCAAAAUCCAGCCUGGAAGCUUGUAAAUAACCCAGUGUAGUGAUUUCAUUUUCCUCUAAUCCUCUGUUUUGACAUCUGAAAAUAAAAUGCUUCUAAUUUCCAUUUAAUAGGGAUUUCUUUUAAGAGAAAAGGGCACUUUGAAUUCUGCAACUGUUAACAUGAUUUCUUCUGCCUUUCAUCAUCUGGCCUGCUUGAAUAGUUGUUCUCUUAAUGGCAAGGAUGAAAUUGUAUUGUUUGUGUCAUUCCACAGAUUGAAUAUUUCAGAAAGAAGCAUUGUAUGGACUGCAAUGUCAGUAUUUUUAAAUAAUCCUUCACAUGGCUAUGAAUAGGAUAAAGUCAGCCUGUAUAAUGAUAAAACUUGAUUACACUUUCUGAAAACUGGAUUAAACUUUGUCUAAAUAUACAAAAAUCCUGAAAUUCCUGUUUUGAAGUGUUUUUUUGCUUGGCAGCUGUUAUCAUGGCCAUCCAGUCAUGGCUACCAGGCCAGAAGGCUUGUUCCAAACCCCUUUGGGAUUUUGUUUUUAGUGCUGGAGAACAUGGAUAUUAUGUGAGCACACAGCUGCAUUGUUGUGUGAGCUUUGUUGGAACCCCGAGUUAUUUUUCCUGGUUGUACAGAAGAUCCAGCUCUACUAGUUGUGUCUUGCAGCAGACCAAGUAGUGUAAAUAUGAGCUGCUCAUGGCUCAGGCUGUGCAGGGAGGCAGUACAGACAAUAAAAAAUGUUUUCCUUGGAAGAGGUGGGCAGUGCUGUUCUCAGAAUAGGCUUUUAGUCCAAAAUCUAACAGCAAUUUUUAGUUAUGAUGUUAGCAGAGCUCUGAAUACAAUGUCCAUUUACAGAUUAAGGGGGUAUUAUCUUCUGUUGGAAGAAAAAGACAGGAAACUCUUUAGGAAUCCAGGUCUCCUCCUAAGUGCAUUGUGCCCUGCUGUUCCCUUGGCUGGCUCUGGGUGAGUCAGGGAGCUGUGCCCUGCUGGGGUGUGCCCCACCAGCUGUUCCAGCCUGCUCUUGGUGGCCCUUGGAGCAAAGGAACCUGAGAGAAGAGCUGUGACAAUCCAUCUGCAGCCUCUGCAAACCCCAGACCUCCAAGCUCUUCUCCACGGGAAACGAGCCCAAAAGGCCCCGACUUCCUGAAGCUCUGCUUUAGUGCAUUGACAAGAUGCCAGCUCUGCCUUUUUUGGAGGUGGCAGUGCCCAGAGGAAAGAGACUGUAGCCAAGUGAUAUCCUGAAGUUUGGUCCUUGAGAAUUAGAGCAGUACGUGGGAACAAGACUUUGUUGUUUUUUUUAUAUCAGAAACAGUUUUCUGAGAAAAUGUUUUUAGGGCUGCUGGCACAUCCUUAGCGAUAGUAAAUGAAUAGCAAGAGGUUUGAGAAGGAUCAGGCUCCUUUUCUCUUCAUUCCUGCCGGUGAGACACCCCUGAAACUCUUCUUGCUCUCAGUUGCCUCUGUUUCUGAGCUGGGCCAGCAGACGUCAGUACUGGCCAGCCUGUGCUGGGUGGGUGUGAAGCAGCAGCCUUGCCAACCCUCACAGCUGGUCUGCAAAAGCCUUGAGAGUGGUGUUUACUCCUGCUAAAUCUUUCUUCUCAGCAGUGUUACUGUUUUUAUUAGCAGAACAUGUAAUUGCAGUAAGACAAGGUAAAGUUUCCUGGCAGAGGGAUAUUUUCUGUGUUAUGAGAAAAUUGCUGAUUUCUUAUCUAGGAGCUUCUAAAGCAAGCACAGCCCUGAUUUGUCUAAAAGCUUGGUGCAUCACUGAUCACAGAAUCCCAGAAUGGUUUGGGAUGGGAGGCAUCUAAAGCUCAUCCAGUCCACCCUGGCCCUGGACACUUCUACGUUCCAGCUUCUCUGGGAAAUCUGUGGCAGGACCUCCUCACCUUCACAGGGAAGUUGCACUGUGUCAUCAUAGAGCAGCUUCCACUCCUGUCCCUUUCCCCCUUUAAAGGAGGGAGAAAACGUUUGUGCCCUCAGGUGUCUGGGUUCAUCCACCAGUCUGUGGUGUGAGGUUGCAGCUUCUGGUACAGUGUCACUGUGGUUCCUUGGGACAUCACAGACCCGUGGUGCUGCUGCCUGUGCCUUGCAGCAGUGCUGGUGUUUACCCCGGGUGUGCCUUGGAGCAGCACUUGACCUGACCCUGAGUGCUUAAGGGUGAAAGCAACCCCUGAAAGCAUGUUGGAAUAACAAAAUAUUAAUAUCCAAAUAUCAUUAUAAUCAAAAAUUCCAAGUCAGAUGCUAGUAUAAAACAAAACUCUCUUUUUUUCUGCUUCUUUCUUGGGUACUUGGUAUAUAAUUUCACUGUGUUUUCUUCUAGUGUCCAUGCUCAUUUUUCUGUCUGCUCUGCAAACAAUCCACACCACAGGGGAGAUGGGAAUGAAAGCUUCAAAGUUGGUGUUUGAAGAAAAUCUGAUUCCUGCCACUAAGACCUUGCAAAGAGUCUGCUUGAAAUUAAUUCUCUCCGUAAAUAAGUGAUUUCAUGGUCUCGGAUUUCUAACUGGUGCUAAGUGCUGCCCUGUGAAGGCCCUGGUGUAUGAAGGCAACUUCCCUCCACAUUUUUACAAAGCAAUUCUUUAUGUAUUUUAUCAGAGUGGGAUUGGAGGCUGAAGCUCUCAGUUUUGUAUUAGUGUGUGUGGAAUGGCGAAGGAAAAGAACAGUUUUCAUUUUGGGAUUAAGUAAUUGAAAACCUUCCAGCUGCUAUAGUAACAGCAGCACAUCUGCCAGAUGUCAAUGAGCAUAUUUUAAUCCUUCUAUUUUAAGUUUCAAGCUCUUGAAGCAAAGUACAUCUAGGUGUGGCUGUGUUAGUAGCUGCCUCAGCCUGCAGCUACUUGGGUAGCCUAGGAAAGAACCGUGUAGUAUCACUGUUGGAGUGACUGCUGAUUAAAUUUAUAGAAAGAGCUUUUCCCAGAUGUUCUUACCGGGCAGGAGCCCAUCCUGAAGAUUUGUGUUUCUCUCCGAGACACUUUUAUGAUGUCCUGUAGGGUAUACAGCGUGUGCUCUCCUGCAUGUUAGAUUGAUUGGAGGUACCAGGACGUUUUUCUUGGAAGGUGUAGGAGCCAAAAAAAGGAGAAAGAAGAAGUUUUGGUGCCUGGGCUUGCUGCCUAAUGCCAAUUCCGUGUGGCUGCGCUGCAUAGCGGGGAGCAGGGCUGAGGUGUCCACACAAGUGUCCUGUCCCCUGUUGACACUGUAAAUGAGUUUAGGCUGGAGUGAUGAAUGUGGGGUGGAAGAGGCUGUUUUUCUAGUUAAACAUUUUAAACUGUCAGAGAAGGUGAAAAAUGGGUUGUACUCUUUCCUGUGGCCUUCUCCUCCAAAGAGUCUGUCAGGCAAGAAAGGGAGGGAAAAUGUGCCUGGCGUGGAUCAAGCCCUUUGCUUUUCCAUGUUCGUUUGUUUUUAUUGUAAGAUAAACCUUUCAUGUUUUAUUGUUAUGAAGUUAAAGCCUGGCCUAGAGGUGCUGCUCUUUAGGAGGAACAGCUGGAGCGUCCCCUGGUCAGGUGGGAGGCUCUUUGAAGCGACAUGUUGCCUCUUUAAGAGGAAAUGGAGCAUGUGAGAACUUAAACCUGUAAAACUCAUCAUCAGCUCUGCCAUUGUUUAUCUCUGGUGUAACUUUAUAUAGAAUUAAAGUGAAAUGCAUUACUUUGCUCCUGAGGCAAGAUGGUUUUGCUCCCCCUUGGUCUUGGAGACACAGGAAAUGACCACAUAACCACAAAUACUUUCUAGUGGAAUGAAGAUGAGUGACAAACUUCCCGCAGAAAGAGGGCUAAGGAAUUAAAUGUAGCUGAAGGCUCUGAUUUUAAGUUAAAACCAGCUCCUAACUGUUCAAACCAAGUAGAAAAGAGCAAAUGCUGUACAUGCAGUGGCUGGUGUGAGGGGCAGAGCUGGUGUUCCUAAUGGACAGGACGUUGUGAUCACAAUGGCUUUGAGCACAGGCUGUGCCUCAGUCAGGAGAGGGGUGACCCGAGCUGUCUGUCAGAUUAGGACAGCUAAGGUGCUUUUUUGGCUUUGUUUCUCAAGUUCCCUUCUGGCACAGAAGGCCAGAACCCAUUAGCUGUAAGAUCCCCUCCUUCACUUCUCUGUAGCAUUUUCAUUACUUGAAGCAGGGUCUUAGCUAUCCUCCCAUCAUUUUUGGGUACUCAUUGUUGCUCUAGACUCCUUACAGCUGGAAUAAAGUGCAGUGAUACCUUGUAAAAAUGCAUCAAAAUGCAUUUGCAUGAAGAAAACAAUCCCUUCAAACAAGCUGCUUCAGUAAAAGCUUUCUUAAGACAGAGUAGUUUUUCCUGAGCCAGUCACGCUGGACCACAUCUGUUUAACAGUGGUGUUGGUGUGGGGGAAGGCCUAGUUUGUGUUUCAGACUUAGUCUGAAUUGCAGUUGACAUAAAUAAUAAAUUCUUCACCUUUUAAGUGUAUCCUGUAGCUUCCCCCAUGGCCAACAGGAAGCAGCAUUGAUGGCAUGUGAGUGCAGCCAUUACAGAGGGGCUGUAAUGUGAGAGAACAUCUGAAGGAGGUGAAGUGAGUACGAGAUAAUGAUAAUUUUUGGAAGUAAAUGGAAAGAAACUGUAUUAAUUAUAGCUGCUUCCUUAGUGCAGGGUUGUGUUAAGACAAGACAGGAAGCAGUUCACCACUAGGCUGGUGAGAAGAAUGUGGGUUUGACUGGGAACAUGGAAAAUGUGGUGACAUUAGAAACUGCCCAGGCUAUGCAUGGAGAUGAUGCAGGAUUUGUCAUCCUGUAAAUCAUUUCUCAUUGAUUAGCUAAGCUGUUUGGAUUGGCAGAGGGGAUCUUCCCAAGGACAGGAACUGUAGGACAAGGAUUGCUCCCUCGUGGCAAGGCUGCUGAGCUGGGCACUCCAAACAGUCUGAGCAGAGAGAAUCCCCCCACCGAGUCCUCAUCAGCCCCCAAGUGCAACAGCCCAAAGCAAGCCAGCUCAGUACGGGCUGUGGGAACGGGCUGGCAGAGGAUCCAGCCCAGGGCCCCACGUGGGAUGGAUCCUGGAAGACAGUGAUUAUCCUCGGUGGCAUGAACACCGUGAGAGAGCCAGCACCAGCUGGACUACAGCAAAGGUAGGGCAGGAAGGCUCUGCUGGGAGGGGGCUGGGGGGCUAGAGGGGUGAGCUGUGCCUCUGAGGGAGGCCUGAUGUCUCUUCCAGGCCGCAGAUGAACAUUGCUCAGUGCACGAGUCUGAAUGAGCUGCUCCAAGGAGUGUCUUCUACUGUCUGAAAGGCACAAAACCCUGGGGCUCUGAGCAGACACCUGAGGAUCCCAGACUUUGCCUUAGCUGUGCAAAUGAUUAGGGUGAAAACCUGACCUUCAGUGCAGCGCUCGGGCUCUGAAGUGUCUGGGGCAGUUAUGUCAGGAUUGCUUGGCGGGCGGUCAGAGCUCUUCCUGCGUGUUUUGUAAGCCUACUCCGAAGUUGUAAUGACCUGGUAAAGUAGUUACCUCUGGCACAACUGCAGAUCUGUAGUAAAAUGAAGAGGGUUUUCAAACCCUUUUGCAGCUCUCAGUAAGUACGGAGAGCAGAGUCCUAACAGAGAGUGAACGUGGGGCGCUUUGCUCAGAUCAUGUUUGCUUACCUCUGUCCUAAUAUUCAGGGGCUUAUCAUCAACAAAAUACAUGGGAUGCUUAGUUAAGGUACAGGGUGGUGCACCCUGAUGUACUGAGGAUGUCAAGUAUGCUUUGAGUAAUCUGUUCUUCAAUAGAAACUAUCAAUGCACUUUUUACAAGGAAAAAAUUUUGAAGAGCACAAGGAAACUUAAAAAAAAAAAAAAAA